rnacentral:rRNA from 1 species
UACGUAGGGGGCAAGCGUUGUCCGGAUUUAUUGGGCGUAAAGAGCGUGUAGGCGGCUUUACAGGUCCGUUGUGAAAACUCGAGGCUCAACCUCGAGACGCCGGUGGAAACCGUAAAGCUAGAGUCCGGAAGAGGAGAGUGGAAUUCCUGGUGUAGCGGUGAAAUGCGCAGAUAUCAGGAAGAACACCCGUGGCGAAGGCGGCUCUCUGGGGACGGUACUGACGCUGAGACGCGAAAAGCUGGGGAGAACAGGUUAGAU